UGCAAGGUGUAGAGCUGUUUCUUUUUUCUACUCUUGCAGGAGAACUCUUUCCAAAAACCUUUUCCUUUCUCUCCCCAGUUCCAAUUCCAAUUCCUCCUCUUCCCUCUUCCCUUCAAUUCAUCUCUCCCAUUCUCUCUCUCUCUCUCUCCAAACGCUCUCUUUCCCACAAGUCCCUUUCCUUAAACACUAAACAACAACAACGAAAAGAGAACGAGAACGAGGAGGACGAGCCAAAUGUUCCAAUCGAAACUAUAAAUCUGUGGUUGUGUCACCUGUGGACAGCAUUACGUAUGUGAGUUGAAGUGUGUCAUGUAGAAAUGGAGGUAUAGGUGUUGUAUCGCAACAACUCUACUCUGUGCUUACCAGACUGCAGAUUGGACUCAUAGAAGACAAGAUUGAUUGGACUGCUGAGCUGAGGUAGGCACUUUCUGGCGAACAUAUAUAGUUUGCAACCUCUACACUAUAGAGGGCAGAAAUUGUCAAGUUUGUUUUGGUACCUACUACCUACUGAUAUUUGGAAAGUCAUUCACUAUGGAGUUGUUUCUAAGUUCUUCUAUUGUGUGAUCAUGACUACUGAAAACGCCUCAAAAUGUUUGUUCAUUUAAUUUUCUUAUCUGCAUUUUUUUUCCUUUACUGAUUCUGCUCUGAAAUGUGAUAUUGAAAAAGAAGAGAGACAAUUUUAAGAACUGCAGUGGACCU